GUCGAGCGAACUGAUUAGAAGCUUGCUUCUAUGACGUUAGCGGCGGACCGGUGAGUAACACGUGGGCAACCUGCCUGUAAGACUGGGAUAACCUCGGGAAACCGAAGCUAAUACCGGAUAACAUCAUUCCUUGCAUAAGGAAUGAUUGAAAGAUGGUUUCGGCUAUCACUUACAGAUGGGCCCGCGGUGCAUUAGCUAGUUGGUGAGGUAACGGCUCACCAAGGCAACGAUGCAUAGCCGACCUGAGAGGGUGAUCGGCCACACUGGGACUGAGACACGGCCCAGACUCCUACGGGAGGCAGCAGUAGGGAAUCUUCCGCAAUGGACGAAAGUCUGACGGAGCAACGCCGCGUGAGUGAUGAAGGCUUUCGGGUCGUAAAACUCUGUUGUUAGGGAAGAACAAGUAUGAGAGUAACUGCUCGUACCUUGACGGUACCUAACCAGAAAGCCACGGCUAACUACGUGCCAGCAGCCGCGGUAAUACGUAGGUGGCAAGCGUUAUCCGGAAUUAUUGGGCGUAAAGCGCGCGCAGGCGGUUUCUUAAGUCUGAUGUGAAAGCCCACGGCUCAACCGCGGAGGGUCGUUGGAUACUGGGGAACUUGAGUG
rnacentral:rRNA from 1 species